rnacentral:lncRNA from 1 species
UAUGGCCGAUAUAAUUGUAACAAACCACUGCAUUUAUAUCUUGUGGUGUCCGCCACGAAGCUUCUCUAUGAUCUUGUCCAUGAUCCCUUUCUUUUCGUGGUUCUCCUCCGUGUAAGCGGUGCCGCCGCCGGAUGGUGUGGUGGUCGACGUAGUAGUAUGUGAGUAGUGGGGGUUAUCCUUGUGGCCAGUACUCGGCAGCUUGUCCUCGAUCUUGUCCGUCAUCCCUUUUUCCUGGUGGUGCCCUCCUGGGUCGGUGGUGCCGUAUGUUGUGUCAGUUGUAGUUGAGCCUGUGAGCUUUUCAUUUAUCUUCUGUUGCAGCUAGCUUCUAUCGCUAGCACAUGUACUUGGUGUUGGAUAAAUAUCAACAAUCAACGAUAAAUUUAUAUAUGUUAAUAAAUAAUAAAUACAAAUAAAUAAUUUACCAGAGUAUAAACAUAACGAAAUAAUAUUAGACAGACAAAUUGAAAAUCAAAGCUUGCGUACCGUAAUGUCCUUGAAAUAUAAAUUUCAUCCCUAUUCAGUGCUUGUAGUUCUACAAACGUCUGCUUCACCAAUAUUCAAUUGACACACCCCGACCUAAAUCAGGGCGUGUUGGCCGUCACGUAGAAGUGAAGUAACCAUGUGCAUAGUGCGGAAACAAUAAAGAUAUAAGAGAAAUAUGAAUGAAUAAAAACCAAACUACUAGCCUUACUAGUUAAGAUAAGGUGCUAGAACGAGAUUAAGUGUGAAAUACACAACUAGAGCAUAAAUAGCCUAAGUGCAAUCAAGCAGGACAAGUACUAAUUUACAACACUCAAGGGUGAUCCUACAUUUAUGAUGUUCUGUUAAAACCACCGUUGAAAUCCCCGUGAGCCACCAAAGCAUUUCCACCUAAAACCUAGAUGGGCGCAAAACAGAAAGUGUGAGUAGGCAAAAACAAAGUUUUGCAAAAUCAUUUCAUUUCUCAAAAGUUCUAACCCCUCGCCCUAAAACCUGUAUAAUUUCCCAGAAAAUAAUAAUAAUAAUAAUAAUACUAAUAAUAAUAAUAAUAAUAAGCUGUAUCAGAAAUCAUACUCAAGAUGAAAAUCCAUAGAAGUAUACCAUGCCAAAGUAUCUUAAUGCAAUGCCAUAAAUAAUCCAGACAAAAUAUAUCAAUGUCAGGUAUCGCAUCAGCUGAAUCCCUCUAACUCAAACUGUAUGGUUGAGUCUAUAGCUCAUAACCAAUCUCAAUCAUAUCAUAUCAAUUCUUGCACACGAGUCGGAACCACCUAAAGUGGUCUGUACGACAAGAGUAGGUGUAAAAUAAAUAUGCUCUAGUGCUACGAUCACAUGAAGGCUGUGCGAAUAAUCGCGGGUCACUUACGAGUCGGAACCAUCUAAAGUGGUUUGUACGAAAAGCCUUUGCACCUAACUUGGAUCCUAGGUGAGCAUAUGGUGCGAGAGGUGAAUGUCACGUGAAAGACUGUACCCUAACUUUGGACGGGAGCACUAACACCAAGGUGCAUGUUUAUGAGCUCUCAAUACAUCACAUCAUAUCUCACAUAACUGAAGUAACCUCAUAUCUUUAAUUUAUGAACUUACCUAGCACUUACCUGUGCGUCUGCAGCACCAAUCAUAAAUAUAUGCAACUACUAAUGCAUAAAUAAAAUAGGCAGAUACUUUACAUGGCAUUUCAAAACGUAAAAUCAUUCAAAUUCAUUUUUUGGGAAAAAUCUCAAAGUUUAUAGGUAUAUACGGAAAACCAAAAGCACACUCAUUGAUAUGUCGAAGGGUCGUAGCCCUCGAGCCUCGAUUGAUGGCACUCGUCCUUAGGAUAGGUCUCACCUAUAUGCGAAAUAACUGAAUAAACAUUAUUUAAAGCACAUACACAAAACUAAGAAAUAACUUCUCAUACAUUGCUCAAAUGAGGUAUUUGAAUAUACCACCAUGAUUUACUCAACCUCAGGAACAUCCUCAUAUUUUUAGAAAAAUUUUCCGACCUCCCACGCCCCGCCACGCACCGGCCAAGGCAUGGCCAAACGUGCUCCCAUGCGCGGCCAAACCCUAACUGAGCCUAACGACCAUUAGGAAUAUUCCGUUAAAACCUUAACAAAAGUUAAAUGCGUUACCUGACGCCAUUAGAAUAUUCUGUCAGACUUGACAAAAUAUUCUCCUUCAUAUUCCUGGGUUCGCCGGAGAAUGUUGUCGGAGCCGCUACGAUCGCCUGAAACUGGGAAAAUAAUCAAACCUUCAUAUCUUCCUCAUUUCUCAACCAAAACUCACGAAAUUUAUACCAAAUUGAAGCUUACAACAAGAAGAACAAAACCUUACCAAUUUCACGCCUAGAAAUCCAUGGGAUUUCAUCGGAUAAACCUCGAUAAUUCGGCCAAAAUUGAAACUUGCCAAACUUAACUUCCCGACAUCCAAAACACUUUGUUUUUCUUCUCCAAGCUUUGUGAAGACGUCCUAAGGCUCACUAGCAACUUAAAAUCUCCUAAAAACUUCACAUUCACGAUCAUAUGAACAGUGCCUUAAAACUGGGAUUUCUGGUUCUCGGGAAAACAAGGUCUUCACGUCAAACUAAAGGCAUAGAUGACCACCUGGACUCACGAGGAACACAUAAACAACCUCCUCGACGUCGAUCCGUGAAGAUAGGGUAAGGUUUGGGUGUUGUCCAUACGAGUACGAAAAUGGCAGAAAAUUCGAGGGAAGGAGAGAGAGAAAGUCAACGGGAAAGGGUUUGUGUGAGUGUGUGUGGUCCAGCUGGGUCACCAAUCAAAAUAAAUAAAAGCUUAAGUUUUAAUUGGAUCCAAUUAAUUAGGAAUAGAGCUAACUGGCCUUUUUUUCUUAGCCCAAUCUACACAACACCACGAAACGCUCAAGGGUACUUUAGUCUUUUCACACCACCGAUGAAAUAAUUCAAGACGGGCUGUGAUCAAUGAUCUAAGUUAGAAUUCCAACACCGGAAAACUUGACUUCUGGCUAAUUUCUUUGUGGUUCUCUCAGUAAGAAUGUUUGGGAUUGUAGAAGAAUUUUAUGUUUCUAUGUUCUAAAUGUCAUGCAGAUUGAUGUAUAUAUAAUAGGUUUAUGCAUGUUUGCAACAGGUAUGAGAAUGGGAUGAGUUUGUUAGGAGACAUCUUCUCAAAGGGGUGCUUUGUUCUCUGGCGUUCUUUCAUCACUUCAGACUUCAUCUGAAAAGAUGAGUUUAUUGAUAUAAAAAAUAAUUAAUUAAUUAAAAAUAAGUAAUUAAAAAAUUUAAUUAUAAAGCCCAAUCUCAAACUUGAGCCCAAUUUUAUGAUCUAUGACCCAUUACUCCAUUCACUCUCUACAAGGGACAAAAUCUUAUAAAAUAAAAAUCUUUUAAUAGUGACUAAUAUGGGAUCAUAAAAUUUCUACUCAAAAUUUCUAACACUUAAAAGCAAGCUACAGCUACCUCAAAUCAAUCAAUGAAACCGCUCCCAGUAGGUGGGCGGCGUGCUCGUCUUGUGUGACAAGACCGUAGAGCGAGUGGCUCUUCUCUGUGUGAACUUAUCUUGUGUGACAAGCCCAUAGAGCGAGUGACUAUUCUAGAUGAAUUCGAACUUGAUAUUGAUAUCAGCGGAGGCGUUUGCAAGCGGGCAAACUAAAUAACAUGUUCAUGUUCUUAUUGCUAAUUUGUAGGACCUUAUUAAACCAAUAUUGCAACAGUAGUUAAACCGGAAUUACCGUUACUCGAACGAGCACUAAAUAUAUUAAUAUAAACGACAGACAAAGUUACAUAUCACAAAGACAAACGAUACUGUGUAGUGUUCGGUGCAUUAGCCGCACCAGAGCUGAGCUCGCACCAGGCUCCGCUAGCUUAUUAUAAGAUUCAACAACACUAAACCACUGUAUACAUACUGUAGGCUUUUAUUAAUACAGGAAUGGUAUAUAAUGUCUACUGGUUUCCUCCGGGAAGCUUCUCUUUGAUCUUGUCCAUGAUCCCCUUCUUUUCGUGGUGCUCCUCCGUGUAGGUGGCACCGCCGUAGGGAGUUGUGGUCGUACUAGCAUGUGUUGUGGUUGAGUAGUGGGGGUCAUCCUUGUGGCCAGUACCCGGCAGCUUGUCCUUGAUCUUGUCCAUCAUCCCCUUUUCCUGUUGGUGCCCUCCUGGGUAGGUGGUGCCAGCGGUGCCGUAAGUUGUCUCAGUCGUGGUUGAUCCCGGGAGCUUCUCCUUUAUCUUCUGUUUCAACCCCUUCUUCUUCCUCCUCCCACCUAGCCCAUCAUCCUCCGACUACACCAAAAUAAAUACACGCCGACAUAUGAAUUUCUUUUUCAGAGGGAAUUACAAGUUAAUUAACAAUAUUAAUAUUAUAUAAUUAGUGUAUAAAAGAAAUUGAUGAUCAAAUCCUGCCAAUAAGAGUUGGAUCUUGCAUAAAAAUUGUAUCUACGCGAUUGUAUACAAGUUAAAAAUUUCCGAGGGAAUAACUUCUGUUUUAAAUGAAAUCUAUCUUGUUGUAUUAAUUAAAAAUUAGUAAACAUGCUACAGUACAAACAUUCUCAUGAAUAUAUAUUCAACCCUAAAUGUUGCAAAUCAAUCCACAUUUGCAAGGUGUACAUAGAGCAGAGAAAUGUUUUAGUUAAUCGAAACACGCCUAAUACACCUGGUCUAAUAAUGCUACCAUUAAAAUUUUUGCCUAUUGACCAGGUGACAUGAUACAAAUAACAAUAGGGGACCGCCUACAUAUAGAGAAAUUUUUAUUGUAUCAGAACACGCCUAAUUCACCAGGUCUAAUACUAUCGAUUAAAUAUUUUACUAGUUUCUAAUAAUACAAUUAUAUUGGGGUACUGGACCUUGCUACAGGCGCAUUGAAAAUUUUCUACGUGCUUAUAUUAGGAUUGAACAUAAAUUCAUGCGUGUGUGCCUAAUUAAGCCUAACCUUUUUGGCUAACUUGGUCAAUAGACAAAAUCAUGGUACGCGCUAUUAAGUGAAUCCUACGUAAAUUAACAUCACAUUUUCAUAUGAGAAAAAAAUAAGAAAUCACUUACAGAGCUAGAGCUUGAGCUGCCAGAGCGGUGGAGCGCGCCAGUGACACCAUGGUGCUCUUUCCUGCCGUAAUCGUGACCAGUGGUCGCAGCGGCUGUGUCAUGAGCACCGUAUCCUCCGGUGGUGGCACCUGUAGUAGCACCGCCAAGUGGGUUCCCGUACUCGUCGGUUCUCUGGAUCGGGUUGCCGUAGGCGUCGGUUGGCUGUGCCCCGUGUUGAUUAUGCAGAUGCGACAUUUUUCAAAUAACACAAUUUGAGUAUGGAAGUCUGGAUAAUUUU